GAUGAACGCUGGCGGCGUGCUUAACACAUGCAAGUCGAACGAUGAAGCCCAGCUUGCUGGGUGGAUUAGUGGCGAACGGGUGAGUAACACGUGAGUAACCUGCCCUUAACUCUGGGAUAAGCCUGGGAAACUGGGUCUAAUACCGGAUAGGAGCGUCCACCGCAUAGGGGGUGUUGGAAAGAUUUAUCGGUUUUGGAUGGACUCGCGGCCUAUCAGCUUGUUGGUGAGGGAAUGGCUCACCAAGGCGAGGACGGGUAGCCGGCCUGGGAGGGGGACCGGCCACACUGGGAUUGGGACCCGGCCCAGACUCCUCCGGGAGGCAGCAGUGGGGAAUAUUGCACAAUGGGCGCAAGCCGGAUGCAGCGACGCCGCGUGAGGGAUGCCGGCCUUCGGGUUGUAAACCUCUUUCAGUAGGGAAGAAGCGAAAGUGACGGUACCUGCAGAAGAAGCACCGGCUAACUACGU
rnacentral:rRNA from 1 species